UCAAGCAAGUGUUUUUGUUAACUUACGCGUUUAUGUUCAGAGGCUAUGUCACGGAUCAAUGUAGUGAUAAUGCAUUUACGUGCUCGUGAACCUGAGAAUGAACUUGCAUAUGAUAAUGCUGUUUCUACCCUUGGUAAAAUAUUUCAGUUUCAUCGAGAACUUAUCGACUCAGCCCAGGUCAUUCCCAUUUGGUUGAAUUGCCUGCCU